UUACAUUUUUAAAAAUAAAAUAAAACGAUUGCAAAAAAAAAGAAACUGCUACAAAGCAUUUGCCCUACCAAGUUCAUUUUCAAGUGGAGCGUAGCUGAUGGCCAGCGAUCCCCUCGUUUGAUCCCGGCACCUUACUGCUGGGCUCCUCCAGUGAUGGCCUGGAUCAAGCAGGUUGCCGUUCGGGGCUGGCUCCUUCCCAGACUUAGCUCCUGGACUUCUGGCGGCUCUCUAGAACUUAGGCAAUCUCACAAGACCUUGAACCAUAUAAAGACAAAACCAGGAGGCAAACCGCUCCCAGACCCAGGCUUGUAGGGGGCUAGGGCCUCAUGGGCUAGCCCAGUGUGGGCAGGGGCCUUCUCCACUCCACACCAGACCUCUGGAGCUUAGAGCAUCGUGGUUACUCCUCACAGGCCAGAGGAAGGAAGGCGAGGGCAAGGUCCCCCUUUGGUGCCUUUGGUCUACGCCCUUUGCUCUGUCUCUGUAACCAACCAGAGGGACCUCUUCAGCACAAUGUAGGCGAACAGGUAACAGUCAUCAAACACCUGCAUGAGCUUGGAACCAGAAUCAAGUCCUUCAGGUCAACAACAUGGUGCCAAACGCACCCAUUCCCAAGACUGGGACUUUCUGGCCAGUCCCUUCAUUUCAUGGAGGGUGUUAUUUCUGUAACUGAGGACUCUUAAAACUACAAAUGCUCUCCCACGAUGGCCAGAAACACACUGGUAAACUCUUCUGAGCAAGACGCAUCGUCUUCCCCCGAGGUCACGCCUCAAGGUCUUGUCCUUGGCAGGGGUCAAGCCAAUUAGAGACAGGACACUUCUAAGGCUAUUUUGGUUGCUGGUUUCCCUGCUUACAUGGGCAAUUGAAGAAUUGCUGUAUUUUCCCUUAUAUUCCCAAACUACUGAGAAUAUAAGGAGGCUGUGCCUUCCCUUCUUAUCUAGCUCAGCACAGCCCUAGAAGGGAUCUAGAAAAUGGAAACAUCCUUACUAAGCAUCAAAGACAGCGGUGAAGCUUGAGAGCUAUGGUGGGAUGGGGUGGAGAGCAGAGACCUUUCUUCACCCCUCCCUGGCCAUCAAGAAUGACAACACCUGGCUUGUGCUGGUACCCCUCCCCCACCAGCUUGGGAGAGCCCAUUGUUCAACGAUUUCGAAAUGAAAAUGUCAUAGAUUCCCAAAUGUCAAUUUAUCUUUAAAAGAAACUACUUCUGCCUGUAGAGCCCAGAAAGGACAUAAUGUGAAGAGGAUGAGGCCAGACACAACAAUUGUAAAGAUAGUCAACCUUGGGAGACUGAGGAACUCUGACGGACACAGUGACCAGUCCCAAUUUCAGAGGACUCAUAAUGAAACAUGCUGCCCACCUCCAGACAAGAGAGCUGAUGGAUUCAGAGGGCAGAUUGAAGA